UACGUAGGGGGCAAGCGUUGUCCGGAUUUAUUGGGCGUAAAGAGCGUGUAGGCGGCCAUGUAGGUCCGUUGUGAAAACUCGAGGCUCAACCUCGAGACGCCGAUGGAAACCAUGUGGCUAGAGUCCGGAAGAGGAGAGUGGAAUUCCUGGUGUAGCGGUGAAAUGCGCAGAUAUCAGGAGGAACACCAAUGGCGAAGGCAGCACUCUGGGACGGUACUGACGCUGAGACGCGAAAGCGUGGGGAGCAAACAGG
rnacentral:rRNA from 1 species